GCGCUACACUGACGGAGCCAGCGAGUUUGCCUUAGCCGAGAGGUUUGGGAAAUCUUGAGAAACUCCGUCGUGCUGGGGAUAGAGCAUUGUAAUUUUUGCUCUUCAACGAGGAAUUCCUAGUAAGCGCAAGUCAUCAGCUUGCGUUGAUUACGUCCCUGCCCUUUGUACACACCGCCCGUCGCUACUACCGAUUGAAUGGCUUAGUGAGGCCUCUGGAUUAAACCCUGGGCCGGGGCGACCCGGCCUUGGGUUGAGAAACUGGUCAAACUUGGUCAUUUAGAGGAAGUAAAAGUCGUAACAAGGUUUCCGUAGGUGAACCUGCGGAAGGAUCAUUA